rnacentral:rRNA from 1 species
UACGGAGGGGGCUAGCGUUGUUCGGAAUUACUGGGCGUAAAGCGCACGUAGGCGGCUUUGUAAGUUAGAGGUGAAAGCCCGGAGCUCAACUCCGGAAUUGCCUUUAAGACUGCAUCGCUUGAAUCAUGGAGAGGUGAGUGGAAUUCCGAGUGUAGAGGUGAAAUUCGUAGAUAUUCGGAAGAACACCAGUGGCGAAGGCGGCUCACUGGACCGGUAUUGACGCUGAGGUGCGAAAGCGUGGGGAGCAAACAGG